rnacentral:rRNA from 1 species
CAUGCAGGUGAUCGCCGUUGAAAGACGGUUUCCUCUUCGGAGGCACCUGCACAGGUGCUGCAUGGCUGUCGUCAGCUCGUGUCGUGAGAUGUUGGGUUAAGUCCCGCAACGAGCGCAACCCUUAUCCCUAGUUGCCAUCAGGUAAAGCUGGGAACUCUGGGGAGACUGCCGGUGAUAAACCGGAGGAAGGCGGGGAUGACGUCAAGUCCUCAUGGCCCUUACAUCCCGGGCUACACACGUGCUACAAUGGCAGGUACAGAGGGCUGCGAAGCCGCGAGGUGGAGCGAAUCCCAGAAAACCUGUCUCAGUCCGGAUUGAAGUCUGCAACUCGACUUCAUGAAGGCGGAAUCGCUAGUAACCGCGAAUCAGCAGGUCCGCGGUCGAAUACGUUCCCGGGCCUU